rnacentral:misc_RNA from 1 species
GAUGAAGAACGCAGCGAAAUGCGAUAAGUAAUGUGAAUUGCAGAAUUCAGUGAAUCAUCGAAUCUUUGAACGCACAUUGCGCCCGCCAGUAUUCUGGCGGGCAUGCCUGUUCGAGCGUCAUUUCAACCAUCAAGCCCCCGGCUUGUGUUGGGGACCUGCGGCUGCCGCAGGCCCUGAAAACCAGUGGCGGGCUCGCUAGUCACUCCGAGCGUAGUAGUUACAUCUCGCUCAGGGCGUGCUGCGGGUUCCGGCCGUUAAAAGCCUUAUUUACCCAAGGUUGUCCUCGGAUCAGGUAGGAAGACCCGCUGAACUUAAGCAUCUCAAUAAGCGGAGGA